rnacentral:lncRNA from 1 species
GGCAGCAGCAUGGUUUAUACAGGCCUGAUAACCUGUGGGUAGAGUCACAUCAAGAUGCAAAUCACGGGUCAUGGAAGAAUAUAUGUUUCAUAUUUGAGAGAUAUGCCCUAGCAUGCUUGGGCGUGCCCUACAUAUAGCUUCUAGUGGUCUUGCCUUCGGAACGGUGAACCCGGGCUCUCGGUCAUAUCCACCAUUUUAUCACCAAUCCUCUGCCACUCGAAACAUUGAAGGAGCGAGCCCAAUGCUAAUCCCACCACUCUCAUGGCCAAGCCUUCUCCAGGACAGCUCCUCCUUCCAUGCCCGAAAGGCAUCAACUUGAACUCGUCUCUUCCCCCCUCCGGGUUGUCGAACCUCUCAGGUCUGAAUUUUGUAGGGUCUGGCCAGAUUUUAGGGUCAUUUUGAAUGGCCCAAUUAUUUACAGAGAGCAUCGUGCCCCGUGGAAUGCGGAAUCCCCCAACCAGGCAUUCUUCUGAUGACUCAUGAGGUACUAGCAACGGAGCUGGCGGGUACAUCCGUAACGUCUCGUUGAGGAUGCUGCGGAGGUAGGGAAGGCGUGCAAGAUCAGCUUCAUCCAUGAAACGAUCAUGCCCAAUCUGCUCGUCGAUUUCUCCCUGAGCCUUCUCGAGGACUUGGGGAUGGUUGAGCAACAGUGAAAGUGCCCAUUCCAUUGUAGCAGAUGAAGUGUCUGUUCCCGCCAACAAGAGCACCUGCAAACCAAACCAAAUUGUGGUGUAAUUAAUUCCAUAGACGAUGCAAGCAGUGGAGAUAUCUUGUAGAAAUAAAUAAAUAAAAGACGAUGCAAAGAAAAUCACCAAAGUGACCUCCUACACCCUUGUCAGUUCAAUGCACCUUGGUUGUGUCUUAUGAGUUAUGACUUGAAUAUUCUAAUUCACAGGUUUGCCAUUGCGCAUUUCAUUAACCAUUAUCUUGACAAAAGCUACAUGAUCCAAAGACAAAAAAUGUCCCUUCUUCCACGCAAAGUAGCGGUGUCCGUACUAACUUCCAUUAUCUAUAUAAUUGGUGAUAACAUUAGUCCAUUAAACAUCUCAAUGUUAAAAUGGCUACUUAAUGUUAACAUUUUAAAGCUACAAGAUUCCUCUUACAAAAUAACUAGUCCAUUUAAAAAGAUCGAUAGACAAAAACAUGUCCCUUCAAUGAUUCACAUUACAAUAUAAUGAAGAACAUUUGACAAUUCUGAAUUAUGAUCUAAACAAAAAAGAACAGUGCUGCAUAUCGGUAUCCCAACUCAAUUGAUCAUAAUAAUUAGUAAAUCAAACAACAUGAUUAAACAUCUUACCAGUAUAAUCCCUUUGAUGACAUCGUCCGAGUAAUACCCAGAUUCCGUUUCUUGCAGGGACAGCAGAACCUGAAUCAAAUUCGUUUUCUUUUCGCCACAACAAUCACUCUCCACUAUUUUUCUCCGCUGCUCUUCUAUCAAGUACUGCAUGAAACUAUCGCUCUUUAGAUGGCACUCUGUCAAUCUCUUCUCCAUCUUUUUUGAUUUAAUCCACGGUAUAAAGUCUCCAAUAAUGGUUUUGCCACCUAGCAAGAAGCUUUCAGCAUGAAUUGCGCGAAACCUUUUUGCUUCUUCCACAUCAGAAACAUCCUCUCCAUAAUAUCUCUUUCCAGCUAUCAUCCGCAUCAUUAUAUUCAGUGUCAAUUCGAAGAAAACUGUCUUCAUAUCUACAAUCUGAUUUUGAUUACGAAAGAGAACACAAAUCAUUGACUUCACCUCCUCCAGACGUAUGGCAGAGAGCAUUUGGAGGCGGUGUGCAGACAGGACUUCAAUAGAGACGAUUCUCCUAAGGUUUCGCCAGUGGUCGCCAUAGGGAGCCCAAGCAAGGCUUGUGCUGUUGUAGGCGAGGUGUUUUGCAAUGAGCAAACGUGGGCGGUUUGCAAAGACAACAUCAUUUUUGGUAAAGCAUUCUUCAGCUAUCGAAGGGGAUGAGACAACAAGUUGUCGACGAGACCCGAGUUGGAGCAAGAUUACGGGGCCAUGUUUACUAGAGAUUUUUGAUAGUGUCCUGUAAAUUGGCUUCUUAAGUAGGUAGAGAUGGCCAAUGAUUGGUAGUGAAGGGAAUGGACUCGGUGGGAAGUUUCUUAUCUUGUUUAGGAAGUGCGCUGUUAUGAUAUACAAGGCUAAAAACACAGGAAAGUAGAGAAAGAAGGUUGCCAUGGAUUUGGCAAUAGCCACUGCCACUGUCCUUGUUUUUUAGGGAGGUGUGUGAAUUAUAUUGUGCGUGUCUUGAUGAGAGCAUCUAUAUGUUAAUUAUUUCAUACUAGGAGUCACGGAAAUGAAAGAAACAGAAUUGAAAUUUCUUGAGGUCGAGUCUGCUCGUCUUAUCUCAUCGAUAUAAAAAGCAACUAUGGACGUGAUGACUGAUGAGGUCAGUGCAGACGUGUCUGUAUUGAACUAGUUACGUGCGAAGUUAUUAAACGGGACACGACACGAGCUUUUGGUAAUGACUAAUGAGUUAAAUAUUAAGCAUAACAUGCGUUUGAAGAUUUUUUUAAAAUAUUAAAUAUAAUAUUGUUUAAAUUUCUUUUCAAAAAAUAAUUUUUAUAUGGUUAAUUCAAUUAAAAGUUGACUUAUCAAGUCAGAAAUUCAUUCGACACUUAGCGCAGGAGCUAGAAACCAAAACAUAUAUAGAUCAUGCAAGGAACGCCAUAAUCAACUAACAGCUACGAUCUCUAGAGAGAAUUAGUUGCCAAGUUGGGAAAUCACAUGUAUCCCUUCCAAAGGUGCCCAGAGGACGGGGCAGACGCAUCAGAGCGACAACCCGGGAGCGGAUUCCCUACCGGCAAGGGGGCAGGAGACGGUCAUCUCGAGGCACAUCACGACCUACAGGCAAGAUCGACGAGGCUAGUGGAGGUCACGACCCACGGCAAGGUGGCCUUCCACGCAGUCACUAUAUCUAUAUGAAUAUCGUUCUUGAACUUCUAGAGCUAGCCCAGUCCAAAAGAGGCUAGUGAAGGUCACAUGAAUGGAAAGCCCUUGAUUCCUAAUUUAAAAAAAAAAAAACAAAAAAACCAAAGAUUUCUUGCUUUUAUUGCCAAAUCGUAUGUGAACAAAUUUUAUUUGCUGCAAUGCUCCCUUGUUUUCUAAAAUCUUAGUCAUUUCGCAAGUGGCACUUAUGAAAAUUCUUCCUUUUUCAAAUUAUAUACAAAAGCAUGGUAGUGUCUCCAUUCUCCACAAGUCUCAACUUACGAGAGCAGGUGCUAUCUGCUAGAUUAGAAAAAGGCAUGGCAAUGUCUGAAAGAACAAGGCAAAUUCAACUGAUAAAAAACUACCGAAGCAAAGAGACUGUGAACAAAUGGCAAGAGUAAAGGUUUCCCUACUUUUUUUUAUGCAGCAUAUAAAUGGAGGGAGGAUAUAUGAUACGUGGCAGUUAUUCUUUCGAUCACAAGUGAAAUGGAAGGCAGCCAUUUUUUUUUUUAUAAGCAAAAGGUAAUAAAGCCCAAGAAAGGCACAAACCAUAGCCAUGUGAUAAUAUGGAAACUGUCAUAAUCUAUUUUUCAAUUAUUUUUUAAAUUUACUUUUAAAAAUAAAUAUAUAACAUAAAAUAAAAUAAAAACUUGUGAUAUGGAGAAAACAUAUCAAAAAGGAUCCCAAACAUAUAGGAAAAUAAAGUUGCAAUUUUAGAUAAAUUUUGAGGCCUGAUUAUACAUCAUUAUACCCAGGAUUGAAGAUACAAUGCAGAUUCAAGGUCAAAUUAAAUAAUUACUGGAUGAAUUUGUAUAAAAAUUAAAUCCAAUGAUAUAAUUAAAUUUUUAAUAAACCCAUUCGAUUUAAUCAUGAGUCAAAUUAAAGUUUAAUUAUGUUUGAGAAUUAAUUUGGGUCCAAUUGAAGAAUUUAAUUAGGUGCAAGGACGUAAUUAAAUUUUAAAUGAGUCAAAUUAAUUUUAUUAAGGGUUUAGUUAGUGAAAACUUAAUUUUGGAAGCCUAAUUUGGGUUUAAUUGAAAAUAUUAGAAUUUUAGGAAAUCAAAUUUAAUUUUUACAAAAUCAAUUGAUUGAAAUCAUGGAUAAAAUAAAAUAAAGUUUUCAGGUUGGGUAGGGGAUAAAUUAAAGAAUUUUAUAGCUAAUGAUCAAUUUACAAAAGUCGUCGAACUAUAAAAGCUUAAUUCAUUGCAAUCGAGGUGAAAAUAAAGAAAUUAAAAGUUUCAUGGUUAAUUAGGUGCACAAUUAUAUAAAUCCGAGAUCAAUGACUAAAAUGAAAACAACAUAAAAUGAGGUCUGAUAUUAUAAUUCAACGGGGCCUAAAUUAUAUUAAAUCCAAAGUUUAGGGUUAAUUAAAUGUACAAUUAAAGAAAUCAAAAGUCAAAUGACCAAAAAGAACUUUGACUAAAAUUUAUAAUUCAAACAUAAAACAAUGACAUUUCAAAUUAAAAAAAUAAAAAACCAAACAUCAUUAACAAUACUCUAAAAGACAUGGAAAUGUAUUGUAGCUUCUCCCAUGCCUUUUAUUUUCGUUGUACUAAUAUCUUUAUUUUUUUUGUCUUUAAAUUCCUCACGCCUUUUAUUUUUGUUGUACUAAUAUAUAUAUAUAUAUAUAUUUUUACAUGUUUUCCCCCCAUGAUUCACUUCUUUUUAAAAAAAAUUAUAUGUUUUUUUCAAAAUUAUUUUUGCUGAUUGUUUUUUAAUAUUAAACUAGUUGAGAAUUUCGCUCUGUUAUUUAAAACAAAACAUUGUAAAUUGAUAAGGUAUUUUCCUCACAUGGUUUUUCUUUUGCUACAAUAUCUCUUUAUAUGGUUUUUUUUUCAAAAUUCUCUUUGUUGAUUUUUUUUUUAAUAUUGAGCUGGUUAACAAUUUAUCUUUAACUUUCCCCGCAUGUUUUUUUCUUUAUUUUUUGUUUUUUUAUUUUUUUCCCAAAAUUGUGUUAUUUUUUCUGUGUGUUUUUUUUUAGAAUUGUUUUUGUCGACUUUAUUUUUUUAAUAUUGAACUGGUUGAGAAUUUAGCUUUAUAGAUUUUUCAUUAAAACACUGUUGAUUGCUAUAGUGUUUUUCCAUAUGGUUUUGUUUUUCCAGAAUUGUCUUUGUUAAUUUUAGUUUUUUUCAUAUUUAGCCGAUUGAUAAUUUAGAUUUGUAGUUUUUUUCUUAAAAAAAAAAAACAUUGUGGAUCGUUACAAUAUUUAUCUACAUGAUUUUUCCUUGCUACAAUGUUUUUUCACAUGUUUUUUUAUCAAUUUUUUUCAAAUUUAUCUUUGUCAAAUUUAUUUUUUCUAUAUUAAGUUAGUUGAAAAUUUAGUUUUGUAGCUUUUUUCUUCAAAACACCGUUGAUUGCUAAAGUGUUUCCUCACAUGAUUGAUUUUUGUUAUAAUUAUUUUCAAAAAUUUCUUUAUCGAUUUUAUUGUUUUUAAUAUUGAACUGAUUGAAAAUUACAACUGUAGAUUUUCUCAUGAAACACUGUAGAUUACUACAGUGUUUUCAUGCAUAGUUUUUUUUUUCCUUUCGUUUUUAAUUUUUUUUUAAAAUUAUCUUUAUUGAUUUAUUUUUGUAAUAUCGAGUUGGUUGAUAAUUACAACUGUAUAUUUCAUCACAAAAUAUUUUAGAUUGCUGCAGUGUUUUUUCUACAUAAUUAUUUUUUCUUUUGUUUUUUUUAUGAUUUUUUUCAAAAUUAUCCUUGUUUAUUUUUUUUUUAAUAUUAAACUGGUUAGAAAUUUAGCUUUGUAGUUUAAUUUUUCUUGAAAAUAUUGUGGAUUGUAAUAGUAUUUCUCUAUGUAAUUAUUUUUUAUGAUUUUUUCUAUAAAUGCAUAAUAACAUAUAAACAUGCUAUAAAUCCACGGCAGCACGCGGCCAUGGCAACUAGUAUCAUCUCGAUACUGUUUAUUAUCUUUAUAUUAUUAUUAUUCACCUAAAAAGCCAUAGGAUGCAUGCUUGGGCGUGCCCUACAUCUAGCUUGCAGUGGUUUUGCCUUUGUACUGGUAAACCCGGGCCCCUCGGUCAUAUCCACCAUUUUAUCACCAAUCUUCUGCCAACCGAAACAUUGAAGGAGCGAGCCCAAUGCUAAUCCCACCACUCUCAGGGCCAAGACUUCUCCAGGACAGCUCCUCCUUCCAUGCCCGAAAGGCAUCAACUUAAACCCGUCUCUUCCCCCCUCCGGGUUGUCGAACCUCUCAGGUCUGAAUUUUGUAGGGUCUGGCCAGAUUUUAGGGUCAUUUUGAAUGGCCCACAUAUUUACAGAGAGCAUCGUGCCCCGUGGAAUGCGGAAUCCUCCAACCAGGCAUUCUUCUGAUGACUCAUGAGGUAGUAGCAACGGCGCUGGCGGGUACAUCCGCAACGUUUCGUUGAGGAUGCUGCGGAGGUAGGGAAGGUGGGCAAGAUCAGCUUCAUCCAUGAAACGAUCAUGCCCAAUCUGCUCGUCGAUUUCUCUUUGAGCCUUCUCGAGGACUUGGGGAUGGUUGAGCAACAGUGAAAGUGCCCAUUCCAUUGUAGCAGAUGAAGUAUCUGUUCCCGCCAACAAGAGGACCUACACACCAAACCGAAUAGUGGUAAUUAAUUCCAUAGACGAUGCAAAGAAAGUCACCAAAGUGACCUCCCACUCCCUUGUCAAUUCACAAUGGUGGUGUAACUUGACACGGAAACAACUUCUAGCAGUGGAGGUAUCUUACUGCUUGUAGAAAUAUCAAAUAAAGAUGAUGCAAAUCAAAUCACCAGAGUGAUCUCCCACACCCUUGUCAAUUCAAUACACCUUGGUUGCGUCUAUUUCUAAUACAUAAAGUUUGGUGCUAUACAUUAGACUUGUGAGUCACCUAAUCUCAAGGCAAUUAGACUUAGCAUGCUAAGUUCUAAGUGAAGUAGGUCUAAUUGAUAUUUAUUUUUCAUUCAGUAUUAUCAAUAAUUACAAUGCAAUUCCUCAUAUUUUACAUAAAAACAAGAUUUAGAAGCUAUAUAUACAUGAUAAAUGCUUCAUAAAAAAGUUUAUAUUUUUCAAUUCUCUACUCCUUUAAUAUUUGAAAUUUAUCACCGAAUGAUUUUUAAGUUCCUCCAAUUAAAAUUGUUUUUUUAGUAUUCAAGACUAUCUUUGUAAAUUUAAAGUUUUUUAAAUUUAAAAACAUUUGAAUACCUUAACUUAAUAAUUAACUCCUGUCCCAAAAACUAAAUAAACUAUUAAUUUAUAUUGAAAAUUUUAAUAUUUAACAUGUCAAUGUUAAAAAGGUUACUUAAUGUCAACAUUUUAAAGCUACAAGAUUCCUCUUACAAAAUAACCAGUCCAUUUAACAAGAUCGAAAGAAAAAACAUGUCCCUUCAAUGAUUCACAUUAUAAUACAAUGAAGAACAUUUGACAAUUCUGAAUUAUGAUCUAAACAUAAAAGAACAGUGCUGCAUAUCGGUAUCCCAACUCAAUUGAUCAUAAUAAUUAGUAAAUCAAACAACAUGAUUAAAGAUCUUACCAGCAUAAUCCCUUUGAUGAGAUCGUCCGUGUAAUACCCAGGUUCAGUUUCUUGCAGGGACAGCAGAACCUGAAUCAAAUUCGUUUUCUUUUCGCCACAACAAUCACUCUCCACUAUUUUUCUCCGCUGCUCUUCUAUCAAGUACUGCAUGAAACUAUCGCUCUUUAGAUGGCACUCUAUCACUCUCUUCAACAUCUUUUCUGAUUUAAUCCACGGUAUAAAGUCUCCAAUAAUGGUUUUUCCACCUAGCAAUAGGGUUUCAGCAUGAAUUGCUCGAAACCUUUUUGCUUCUUCAACAUCAGAAACAUCCUCUCCAUAAUAUCUCUUUCCAGCUAUCAUCCGCAUCAUUAUAUUCAGUGUCAGUUCGAAGAAAACUGUCCUCAUAUCUACAAACUGGUUCUGAUUACGGAAGAGAACACAAAUCAUUGACUUCACCUCCUCCAGACGUAUGGCAGAGAGCAUUUGGAGGCGGUGUGCAGACAAGACUUCAAUAGAGACGAUUCUCCUAAGGUUUCGCCAGUGGUCGCCAUACGGAGCCCAAAGAAGGCUUGUGGUGUUGUAGGCGAGGUGUUUUGCAAUGAGAUAGCCUGGGCGGUUUGCAAAGACAACAUCAUUUUUGGUAAAGCAUUCUUCAGCUAUCGAAGGGGAUGAGACAACAAGUUGUCGACGAGACCCGAGUUGGAGCAAGAUUACGGGGCCAUGUUUACUAGAGAUUUUUGAUAGUGUCCUGUAAAUUGGCUUCUUAAGUAGGUAGAGAUGGCCAAUGAUUGGUAGUGAAGGGAAUGGACUCGGUGGGAAGUUUCUUAUCUUGUUUAGGAAGUGCGUUGUUAUGAUAUACAAGACUAAAAACACAGGAAAGUAGAGAAAGAAGGUUGCCAUGCAUUUGGCAAUGGCGUCGGUUUCUUUUUUGUUAUUAUUAAUAUGGGAGUCUGGAUUUAGAAAGUUACCUUAAAUUGUUUUGUGCGUGUCUUGGUACUAGGAGGCACAGUAAUGAAAGUAACAGGGUUGAAAUUUCUUGUGGUCGAGCAUGCUUGGCUUAUCUCAUCAUAUUAAAAGCAACGAUGGACGUGUUGAGGCCAGUGCUGACGUAUUUGUAUUGAACUAGUUACCUGCGAAGUUAUUAAACGGGACACAACACGAAUUUUUGGUAAUGAGACAGGCUAGGUGGAGCAUGUAGUAUUUAUUCUUAAAUACAUACAUACAUACAUACAUACACACACACGUAAAUAUACAUAUUAAAAUAACUUUUUUAUUUCUAAAAUUUAUUUUUAAUAUUAAUAUUGUCCCAUUCGACAUUACAACGACCUAUAAAACAAAUUAAUUCAAAAAAAAAUAAAAAUUGAUAUCUUGUUUUUAAAUAAAAAAAAAUUUAAUUCAAAGAGUUGUUAUCUAGUAUUAUAUUCACUAAAAAAUCUAAUUGGUUAUGAUAAAUAAUCGUGUUGAAAGAUUAUUUUCUUAUUGAUAUUAUGUUGAAUGGAUGUAUCAAAAGAUUAUUUCAUGAUUAAUUAAAAUAAUAUCAUAUUAAAUAAACAUGUUGAAAGAUUAUUUCAUGAUUAAUAAAAAUAAUAUUUUAUUGAAUAGACGUGUUGAAAAAUUAUUUUUUAUUAAUAAAAAAAAUCCCUUGUUAAAUGAGCAAGUAAAUUAUUAUUUUAUGAUAAAUGAAAAUAGUGUACUAAUCAAUGAGCUGAGAAUGUUAUUUUCUAAUUAAUGAGUAUAAUUCCUAGUAAAGAUUGGCAUUGAGGUUAAUAUAUUGAUGAUAAGUUACUUCAUUCAAUCAACGAUGCAGUGAAUGCGUUUUUAAGCAUGAAUUAAAUUGUUUUUUUGAUUGUUUAUUAGUAAAUUUUAAUAUUACCUAGGUAUAUAUACAUUCCAUAUGAAUAUGUUUUUAUAUAUCUGCACUCUUUAGUUGGGAAGUAGAUGUAUUGAUGAAAGUUUUUUUAUAGAAUUAAUUAUGUAUUUGAAGAAAUUAAUAUUUUAUUGUUAUGUAACCUGUUGUUUAAAAUUUUAAAUGUUUAAAUUAUAUUUUAUAUACGAUGUAAUUGAGGAUAUUACCUCAUUGAGGUAGCAUAUAAUUUUGUUGCACGUCAAAUUAAACAUGUCUAUUUUUUAAAGAAAUUGAUGCUUGCUGUGAACUAAUCAAUUUUAAAAUUUAGUUUUAUGGAAUAUUAUAAUGCUAACUCAAAAAAAAAAAAAAACAAGAAGAAGAAGAAGAAGAAGUUGAUAUUGUAGUUGAGUUGUGAAGUUAGUAUAACGAGACGAGCAUUGUCAUUAUUAUCUGUAGGUUAAAUUUUUUUUCAAGUCAAUAAUUUAUUAUUAAAAAUACAAAAAAACUUUACUGAAAUUCUAAUAUAUAUAAAAAAUCACACCCAGUAAAAUCAACACAUGUAUAUAUACAUACAUACAUAUAUAUAUUUAUUUAUAUAUGCUUUUUUUUUGGGCUGUUACACAAGGUGUACCGAAAGAAACCCCACCGGAUCCGAGGCUUGUCGUAUUGAGAUAUUGUCGGGCGCCAAGUUUACUGACUACUCACCUACCAGUACGCUGUGCCUUACCGUUAGAGAUCUUUGGAUGGUUUAGGAAGAGUGAUAUUUUCUAGUUUAAUUAUUUUCCAGUACGUGGCCUUGGCCCAGCAAGGUUUGUACAAUUGUAGGCGAGGUGUUUUGCAGCAGCAAAAGAGGGCUGUUUGCAAAGACAACAUUAGAGGCCAAGGCCCACGGGCCAGGCACACUCCUAGUGGCUGGGCUCGAACAGAGGGUGUUGGAUGUUUGCCCACCACUUCGGCUCGUACACUCGGCCAGCACCUGGGCUCGGUCAUGUUUCCCGAUUCUUAAAGGAAUGUGAAUUUAGUAAUUGAUGCUGUAAUUAUUAUGGAUUUAUGCUAAAAGUGAACAUCUUUUUAUAAGAGUCAAUCGAGUAAAACUAGCUGAAUUACUUUUUUUAUGCCCAAAUUAAACUUAAAAAAAGGUUGUUGUUUUGGAAUUUUCUUUAUUAUUAUUGGAUUUUUUUACUUGAUUAGGUUUGAAAUAUUUAUUUAUUUUAUAUUUUAUUAGUUAUGUUAGUUUGGCUUAUUAUUUAAAACAAUCUUGCAAAUCAUUGAUAUUCAAAACCUGUUAAAUUAAAAUUCUCUUUACAGCUUACCUGUAAUUUUAGAGUUUACCAGUCAAUUGCUUACACACUAUCCUGAGAAGAUGUAAUGUUAUUAUGCGUAUACAAACUCGGCGAGUUAUUAUGGUGAUUUCAAUCUUUAAACCGAACUAAAUUUUAAAAUAAAUAAUGAGAAAAUUUAUUUAAUUUAACAUGGUUGACUUGUUUACCGCACUCAUUAUUUAGUUAAUCUGGCCAAAACAUAAAUUUAAUUUUGUUCUUAUUUUAGGAACGAAGAGGAUUUAGAUUUAAUUUUUUUUAAAAAAAAAACUGCUUAUAAUGUUUUAUCAUAUUGUAUAUUCACAACACUCCAAUUUCCUUAUGUCUUGCAUACAUGUACAAUUGUGCAAAUUGACUGCCACCCAAAAAGUAGCAAAUCAAUGCAGGCAGGAUGUAUGACACGUGACUGUUAUUCUUUCCAUUAGAAGUGAAAUAGGAGGGAAGUAGUUCAACACUUCAACUGAUAGUUAUUGGAUGAGGGAGAGUAAGAUAAUAAUUAUUUUUAGUAGUUAUAAAUUUAUUAAAAAUGUAUUUUUUUUUUAAAUAUUAAUAUAUUAAAAUUAUUUUAAAAAACUAAAAAAUAAAUUUCAAUAAAAAUCAAAUUUUAAUGAAAAAUAAAUUACUCUGCAACUCAAACAAGAUCUAGGACAGGUUUGUUUUUUAUAAAAUGGUUUUCGAGAAACUAUUUUCCAAACUUUUAUGUGUUUGUUUGCCAUUAAAGAAGUUGGUCAAUGAAAAACAUUUUCCAGUUAAAGAAAAAUUUUACUUAGUUUCUAGAAAAGUGUUUUCCUGAAAAAUUUGAAUAGAAAACACUUUUUGGAAGUUAUGAAAAAUUUAGAAAUGUCAUAUUAUUUGCUGAUUAUAUCAAAUUUGGUCCUCAAACUUUUAAUUGUUAUAUAUAUUUUGUUUUGAAUAUUUAUUUUUCAAUCUCAUCUUCUAAAAUUUAAUUUUUAUAUUAAUUUUGGUACUUAUUUUUAUAAUUAUUAUUUGUUUUUUACUUGUCAUUUUUUAUUGAAAUUUUUUAUUGAAAUUUUUUAUCUAUCAAAUUUUGGUACUCAUUCUUUUGAUUGUUACUUAUUUUAUUUGAAAUAAAUUAUGAAUGUUAAUUAUUAUUAUUUUAAUUUAUUCAUCUUUUAUUUUUUUUUAUUAGAUUAAAUUUCUAUUAUUUUGAUUAUUAUUUAUUUUAUUUGAGAUAAUUUAUAAAAUUAUAUUUUUUUUCAAUUUCAUUAUUAUUGAACUUUUUAAUUUGUAAAAUUUAUUUCUCAUUAUUUUAAUAAACUUGAAAAAAAUAAAAUAUCAAUAAGCUAUUUUACAGCUCAUUUUCUAUGAUAUAACCAAAUACUAAAAAGUAUUUUUUAAUUUAUUUUUUAUUACACUAACAAACAUCAAAAAAUAAUUUAUUUUUAAAAAAAAAAAAAAUUUUUAAAAAAACUAUUCUUUAGCAAACAAAAUGCCUAAAAAUAUUUGGGAUUGAGUUGCCGUGAAGUGAGGUUAGAUUUUUUUUGCAGUACGAUCCCUUUUGAAACACAAAUAUCAAGAAAAUCCACACCCACUGAAAAUUAAAAACACAUACUCUUUAUUAAUUUUUUUUAAAAUCCCAUAAAAAAACAAAUCCUUAUCUUGCCUCACCCAAAUCCAAAAGACACCUUAUAAUGCUUAGGUUAUGCAGGCCACGUAACCUAUAGGUAGAGUCACAUCAAGAUAUCAAUCAAAAGUCAUGGAAGAAUAUAUGGUUCAUAUUUGAGAAAGAAGCGGAAGCAUGCGUGGGCGUGCCCUACAUAGAGCUUCUAGUGGUUUUGCCUUCGGAACGGUGAACCCGGGACUCUCGGUCAUGUCCACCAUUUUAUCACCAAUCCUCUGCCACUCGAAACAUUGAAGGAGCGAGCCCAAUGCUAACCCCACCACUCUCAGGGCCAAGCCUUCUCCAGGACAGCUCCUCCUUCCAUGCCCGAAAGGCAUCAACUUGAACUCGUCUCUUCCCCCCUCCGGGUUGUCGAACCUCUCAGGUCUGAAUUUUGUAGGGUCUGGCCAGAUUUUAGGGUCAUUUUGAAUGGCCCACGUAUUUACAGAGAGCAUCGUGCCCCGUGGAAUGCGGAAUCCUCCAACCAGGCAUUCUUGUGAUGACUCAUGAGGUACUAGCAACGGAGCUGGAGGGUACAUCCGCAACGUUUCGUUGAGGAUGCUGCGGAGGUAGGGAAGGUGGGCAAGAUCAGCUUCAUCCAUCAAACGAUCAUGCCCAAUCUGCUCGUCGAUUUCUCUUUGAGCCUUCUCGAGGACUUGGGGAUGGUUAAGCAAAAGUGAAAGUGCCCAUUCCAUUGUAAUAGAUGAAGUGUCUGUUCCCGCCAAUAAGAGCACCUGCAAGCCAAUAGGCAGUGGAGAUAUCUUAUUCUAGCUGGUGUAACUUGACACGGCAACAACUUCUAACAGUGGAGAUAUCCUACUGCUUGAAUAUUCUAAUACACAAGUUUGCUAUUGCGCAUUUUCAUUUUCUUGACAAAAGGAAGAUCCAAAGACAAGAUAAUGAAAAUUUAACAAUCCUGAAUUAUGACUUAAACAUUAAAGAAAAGUGCUCCAUUAUGAUAUCACUACUCAAUUGAUCAUAAUAAUCAGUAAAUCAAACAACAUGAUUAAAGAUCUUACCAGCAUAAUCCCUUUGAUGAUAUCGUCCGUGUAAUACGCAGGUUCAGUUUCUUGCAGCGACAGCAGAACCUGAAUCAAAUUCUUUUUCUUUUCGCCACAACAAUCACCCUCCAAUAUUUUUCUCCGUUGCUCUUCUACCAAGUACUGCAUGAAACUAUCCCUCUUUAUAUGGCAUUCUAUCAGUCUCUUCUCCAUCUUUUUUGAUUUAAUCCACGGUAUAUAGUCUCCAAUAAUGGUUUUUCCACCUAACACGAAGGCUUCAGCAUGAAUUGCUCGAAACCUUUUUGCUUCUUCCACAUCUGAAACAUUCUCUCCAUAAUAUCUUUUUCCAGCUAUCAUCCGCAUCAUGAUGUUCAGUGUCAGUUCGAAGAAAACUGUCUUCAUAUCUACAAUCUGACUCUGAUUACGAAAGAGAACACAAAUCAUUGACUUCACCUCCUCCAGACGUAUGGCAGAGAGCAUUUGGAGGCGGUAUGCAGACAAGACUUCAAUAGAGACGAUCUUCCUAAG